GUAUGGGGUAGUACGAGAGGAACUCCCAUGCCGUGCCUCUGGUUUCUGGAGUUUGUCGAACGGUAAGUGCUCCGACGCUAUCGCACGGUGGUUCUCGGCUGAACGCCUCUAAGCCAGAAGAAGCCA
rnacentral:ncRNA from 1 species